CUUUGCAAAAUUCAGUUUGCAUAUGGACGGAAGAAUAACAAAUAGCUUACAAAGCUAAAUUUCCAGCCCUGUUGUCUGUCUGAAGUGGUCUAUGAGAAAGAUUUUCUCCUUGUAAAGCACUGCUAAUUGCUCUGAUGAGAGUGCUUCGUGUUGAUUUCUUUGACUGAUUUCUGCACCUGCUCCUGGAUCUCUGAGGGUACACAAAAGGAGAAAUUUUGAGAAAAUAUUCUGUUCGCUGAUGUCAUAAAAUGGCAUUGGACGGUGACCACCAAAGACCCGGGUAUGAGUCCAGCAAAGCACACGAGUCAACAUGUGAGCCAAAAAUGUAAUAGAAGUGCCACAAAAUGAUGUGGUUGCUUCAGCUUUUUCUCACGUUUGCUUUUACGUCUUAGGUUUAGGUGUAGGGUUUAGAGUAGAGAUGUCAGUUUUGUUUAUUUAAAACUAGAAAAACAGACAAAGUUUUUAAGGUUAAUGCUCUAUCAAUAUCAAAUGUUUUCUUUAUGACAUUAUUGGUUAGGUUUAGGUUAGGUUUAGGUUAGGUUUAGGUUAGGGAGGUAGGUUUUGUUCAUUUAAAACUCCAUAAACUCCAUACAGCAUUAACAUUUAAAAACCCUACUCUUUUUGUCAGAAUAUUUAACUUGCUUUUAAUAUUUCACCUUGAAACUGCAGCGAUACGUGUAAUGAACUAUGUAAUUUCAUUUUACAAAAAUGUUGCCACAGUCACAUAAUUUUCAUGAGAUCAUGCUGGCAUUAUCCAAGUUUGUUAUUCUGACUUUGCAAAAAUUGGUCUGGUACAAUUUUAAUUCGAAAUAAGCAUUUGCAGGACAUUUUAAAAAGAUGAAUUAUUGUUUGAUGAAGUAUUCCUAUCUCUCAGGUAGGUCCUUCAAGGUAGCCUGGAGAGGUGAGGAGUCCAAGUCACAUCAGCUACUUACUGGGGUACCUCAGGGCUCAGUGCAUGGGCCACUUCUCUUCUCUAUAUACACAACAUCACUGAGACCCAGUGGCGAAUUCUCAGGGCCAGCAAAUCCUUCUCUGCUGGCGUAACAUGCCUAAUAAAUAAUAUUUUUUCAUCCUUUCAUUCUCAUUGACCUUUUUGCCUGUGUAUUUUCAAUCACCGUCAACUCCUAAUUAAUCUAAUGUAUGGUGCUUCUCAAUCGGAAGGCUACAGCCUAGUUAGGCGGUGUCAUUCCUAAACCAGUCCUUCUGAGGCUGUGGGCUAGGCUCGUCCUCAGCAUUUAGCACUAGAAUGAGAUGGUCUAGUAAGUGUGGAUGGCAAACCAUAUGCUUAGAACCAUGUGAUAUUUUACUUUGUUUAGAAAAUCCAAAUACUUCAGAAAAUGAGAAAUAUGUUCUUACUCUCUACAUUAUUUUUGCAAAAAUGUUUAUUCACAAAGCUAGAGUCACUCAAAAAAGCCUUUACUACAUUUUGCAACACUGAUCUUAGAAUUUAUAUUGAAACCCUUUCAAAUAUGAAAAUACUAGACAUAUAAAAACUAUAAAACUUGUAAAACUUUUCAAAUUCAUGUAAUUGCCAUUUUAUUUAUUUAUUUGUUAUGUGCUUUUUAUCUUCUAAUUUGUUGUAUUGUCUAAACUACUUGCCCUUUUUAUUUUUCUACAGAUUGUCAUUGCUGCAAAUGCAAAUCAAACUUGAAGAGAAAAAAAAAAAUGGCUGCGUCAUAAAGGUUUCUGCCUCCGCGGUCAUGCGACUAGUUUUCUGCAAUUUUAUUAAAUAAUUUGGGACAUGUGCAAGGGAUUGAGGGUGUUUGAAGGCCACGAAGGAUGCACUUGAUGCAUCCUCCAAAAUAUGGCAAACAAAGUCUGCGUAAUCAGCCUGCCUUCCAAGGGUCCUCACAACUGAGACGUCCUUUGAUGGUUCUUGAUGACAUAGCAGCCAAGAUAUCCAGCCUAAUGAGGCUGAAACCUUCUGAUUGAGAAGCAACUAUUUCCUGUUGAAACAGGAAGUUUGGUCAGGACAUAUGGAUGGGUUUACCCCUUUAAUCUAAAAAAACAUUAGCUUCAGUAAAGUCACAGCCAUGGACCAUGGUUUGCUGCCUGCUAGUCGAUUGCAGGUAGUAAUAGGGGGAGGGAAAUUCUCAUUACUUAGAGCAUUUGAUUGGACAGAAAUCUGUGUAGUGCAAGAUAAGUCAUCAAUUUUUAUAAAAUGUUUCUGAAAGACUGUAGAUUUAAAAUGCGUAUAUCUGCUAAAGGUUUAUUUUGUCAACUUUUAGGAGUAGCCUACACUAGCAUAUAGACAUGGACUGAAAGCCACAAAACUCCCAUUUUGAUUUCAUGGGGUCUUUAAAUAAAGAGCUGUCCACUUCUGUCAACCAUUAAACUUGU